rnacentral:rRNA from 1 species
UACGUAGGGUGCAAGCGUUUAAUCGGAAUUACUGGGCGUAAAGCGUGCGCAGGCGGUUAUGUAAGACAGAUGUGAAAUCCCCGGGCUCAACCUGGGAACUGCAUUUGUGACUGCAUAGCUAGAGUACGGUAGAGGGGGAUGGAAUUCCGCGUGUAGCAGUGAAAUGCGUAGAUAUGCGGAGGAACACCGAUGGCGAAGGCAAUCCCCUGGACCUGUACUGACGCUCAUGCACGAAAGCGUGGGGAGCAAACGAGG